rnacentral:misc_RNA from 1 species
GAGCGAGGUGAGAUCGAGAAGGUCUUCGCUGCCAUGGAAGCCAACUAUGAAGCAUGGGUAAAAGGCUUUGCCCCGCUAGCUGUCGGCGCCGACGUCCCAGCGGCAGUGAGGGAGUUCAGCCGAACAUUGUUCAACAUGAGGCCCGACAUUUCCCUCUUUGUAUCAAGAACAGUCUUCAACAGCGAUCUAAGGGAGGUGCUGGGGAUGGUAAGGACGCCGUGCUGCAUCAUACAGAGUGCCAAGGAUGUGUCAGUGCCGGUAUCGGUGGCAGCCUAUCUGAA